GAAAACUUUUAUCUUCAUCGGGGUGCUAGCUUCCUUACAGAAGAUGCCUUCUUGAUGGCUGAUUAAAGACCCUCUUCAACUCUUUAAAAUCCUCUCAAAGAAUAAGGAGAAGAGGAGGAGAAAAACAGGAGAGGAAGAAGAAAACUAGAAGAGGAGAGAACCUUUUUCUCUUUUUCCUUCUCUCUAAAACCUCACGCCCCA
rnacentral:lncRNA from 1 species